rnacentral:lncRNA from 1 species
GUGGGCGGAAGCGGGUUGAAGCUGGGGGAAGCUUCGGCCAAUAGGAAAGCGCGGACACGGAGGAGUUCCGGUGUGAGCACUUCCGCGGGCAGUUGAAAAGAGCUGGUUUGCAUGCAGUCUUCUCUGUGUGUUUUCUGGUUUGCGGAGUUUGUUGUGGCGCGGGCGGUAGGUUGAAGAAGGUCCUUUCCAUUCCUGUGACUCUGGGAUUUGCCAACAUCCUGAUGAAGUGCACCAUGUUGUUCUUCACUCACCUGGGAAUGGAAGUAGUCAGAACUUUAAGGUCACACACUCCUCAAGCUGGCCCUGCACAUCACAGUCCACCAAGGAUGUCCACUUUCAGUCAUUCACCCAGGUCACUAGCUGCUUUCAACUGAAAGGGACUGAAACCCUGAUUCAAACUGGCUUAAAUCAGGAGGAAAUAUAGACUAGCAGAAGGUUGUUCUUCAGGCACAAUGUGAACACUGGCACCCAACAUCACCAAAGGCCCGGAUUCUUUUAG